UACAGAGACUGCAAGCGUUAUUCGGAUUCACUGGGCGUAAAGGGUGCGCAGGUGGCCAAGUGUGUUAGGCGUGAAAGCCCGGGGCUUAACCCCGGAAUUGCACCUAAAACUACUUGGCUAGAGCAUUGGAGAGGGGAGCAGAAUUCACGGUGUAGCAGUGAAAUGCGUAGAUAUCGUGAGGAAUACCAGGGGCGAAGGCGGCUCCCUGGACAAUUGCUGACACUCAGGCACGAAAGCGUGGGGAGCAAAAGGG
rnacentral:rRNA from 1 species